UGCUAGCUUUCCAGAAGUUCCCCGUCGA
rnacentral:sRNA from 1 species